CUCUUUUUUUAAUGUUUCCUCUAAAUCAAAGGUCAGCUGGGCAUCUUCAUUUUUAUUUUUCAAAGGAUCAGAAGUAUGAAGAAAACUCUGAACUAUCGAGUGACUUGAAAGACAGGUCUAUGACAGUUCAACAAAGUCAGUAAAGACUAUGAAAAUAAACAGCCUGCAUUAAUGCUUAGAAUCACUGAACUGCUGACUCCUGGGGACCAAAGGAUUAAUCAGCUUUUAUUCUCAGAGAAGAAGCAUCAAUUAAGACCUCCUUUGUAGCUUGUUGAGACUGAGUGAAUCUUCUGUUCAUCUUGAAUGAAAGCUGGUACAGAAAAUUGGACACAUUUACCAGGUGGAAUCCAAAUAAUGCACAUGAGAAAAACUGAGCACAUAUGAUUGUGGAACAGAAACAGAUUCUACUUACAGGCUAUGUUACCUUUUGUGGACUGUCUUCUCCAAUGGAACUGGUAAUGGAUAAUAGUAUGAAGGAAGAUCUACAUAUCCUAGACUUUGUAAAAAAAGUCAUCUCACAGCUGAUUAAAGUUUAAAAUGAAAAAG
rnacentral:lncRNA from 1 species